UUAUAAGCAGCAAUGAAUUGUUGCUCCCCACCGAUUAAAAAUUUUGUCUUUUAUUUUGUGUUCACAGGUGCACAAGGCUUCAAAACACAAAGAAAAAAACACUUCACCCUGAAAACCGCUUUGCAGCUGGCUUGAUGUCUGCAGUGCACACACGUGUCCCUCCUUUGUAAGCCCUGCAGCUAGUGACUCAACCCAGACAGUAGUACUGGCAUCUGUUAGCACUAACGCUCGCUCUGAUCACCAGCCACAGACAUAGUGUUCUUUGUGUCUAGUGACUCAGGAACAACGAGAUGUGAAAGUAUGAAAGUUGAUUUUGGGUUUGAGAGUAGACAACAGAGUAGAAAGUAGAUAUGAGAGUAGACAUCAGCUUUUUCUGAAAGUGCUGUUUUGAACUUAUCGGAUUGUAGAUCCCCUUCAGUGUUACAUUUUCACCAAUAUGGUCAUGAUGGUAGACUAAAGGUAGCAAAUGCAAAAUUAGCAAAAUGUCUGUAAAAUUUUCACAAGAAAAAAAAUUAGUUGUCUGUCCUCAAUAAUGUAGAUGUAUGAAACACAGCUUACACAGAAUCACUAUCAAACCAAGCAGCUUUCUGUUUGUCAAUGUACUUAUUUGUGUGACCAAAUUAAUCUGCUGCGAAAUUUGCAUGUGGAAUUCUUUCACACUCACACAAAUCUCUAUUGAAAUUUCUAGAUUUUGCAAGUGCAAAUUCGUAGAGUAACAGUAAAUCUAACUACACUUUAAUUCCUUGAGUUCAAUGAUUGUGUAUGUGAACAAGCUCUUCAGAGUUAUGGGCUGUUCACACAAAGGGUGAUAAAUAUAACGAUAAUGUUUUAAUUAUUGUUCUGAUUCUUUAAGAAUAGGGCAGUCCACACCAAAACUAUGAUAAAUGAUGAAAACAUUGACAGCCAAUCAGAAUUCUCCUGACUUUAAAAAGCUCAAGCAUUUAAAGCUGCAGAUGACAAAAUGCACCAUGUGCUUAUAUAUAAACAGAACAAUAUUGUGCAUUGGUGUGGAUGCUAAUAUAAUUAUAAUUAUCUUUCCAGUUAUCCUUCCUGGCAUAGAAAAGAAAGUUGUUUUAUUUUCCACAGAAGAAAGAAUUUCACACAGGUUUUUUUGGGGGGGUGGGGGCUGUGAACUAUCUCUUCACAGUUUUUAAUAUUGCGUACACUGAAGAAUGUAGUGAUUUGUGCAUAUUAUACAUUGUUGUGAAACAGAUAAACAAACUGCAUGCUCUUAUUGAAUAAGCGGUACUUUGUUCAUUCUAAAGAAGUAUGUGAUCUCCCUGAUUAUGAUUGGCCGCUCUUUAUGUAACCUGUUCUGAACUCAGAGUACAUGACCUAACAGGCCCAGAAUAGCAUUGUAGCGCCUGGGUAUAGACACUACAUUCAGGCCUGAACUGUGUGGUAUGAGUGCAGGGCACACCAGGAUAUUCACGGGUCACAUGCUGCUCAGAUUGUUCUGCAUUCCUUUUCAUUGAUCUACUAUUAAGGCAGUACUGCAGGGUGGAAGACAACGUCAAAGUUCCUGGCAUUUUUAGGUUAUCUUUUGUAGUCAUGUGUCUGUGCUAUGCUGUCAUUGUGGGAGAGGCACGGUCACAAAUUUGGCAGCACUGCUAAUGUUCAAAUAUGAUGCCUAAAUAUGUUGGUAUAAGCAUGUAUGCCAGAAAUUUGAGAAUGCAUAUCUGACAUCCACGAAAUAUCAGAAUCAAAUGCAGAACUGUACAAACACAAAUAGUCUGUACAGACAUGAAAUGCAGUAGCUAUGUUGUGAUAUUGGCACUAUGUGCCUCUCCACAUGCCUCAGAUAUCUGAAAGUCUGUGGCAGAUGCCACUGCAGGUACAGCAGAUUACCAAAUGUGAGCUACAUAUGGAGUUUAAAGAAAAAACUCUCACAUAGCUUUCAUACAGAAAUGCAAGAAAUGUCUUCAGGAUAAUUCAGAGGCCGAGAAAGAGACAUAUGAGGUGAAAUUCUUGAGGUGUUAUUAGAGUGACUAAAGCUCUCAGGCACAAUGAUCUUUUGUUAGUUGAAGGUGCUGUAUAUAAGAUUUUGACUCUACUACAGCAUAAAAAUACCAUAAUAUGUUUGCAGAUAUUAAAGAAACAUGCUAAGUUAACAUACUUGUUUAUCUGAAAAACAAUGCUACAGUCAGUUAUUCUCCUUUGAAAAUGUGCGUUCGGGGCCAGAAUGUCGUAUUUGUUUUGGUUUGUGAAACCCGCCCACUGCCAAUUUACCCAAUUGUAUUUCGGCAUUCUGGGUUGCCAGUUGGCAGAAAAUACAGCGUAUUUCAUUUCAUUCAUCGUCAAGUGUGCUUGUUCCUGUAUGUGUCGUCAAUCUGUCAACCUAUGUGUGCGUCAAGUCUGAGGAGGAGAUUCCAGGUGAAAAAAAUCCUCUCCAAAUAUUUUGAAUUUGGACUGCAAUACCUCGUUCAACCACUCGGUGUUAAUCCUAUACAGCACCUUUAAACUAUUAUAAGCUAUAAAGGUGCAGAUAUUAGCAUCAUUUUAGUGAAAUUUCACAGGUACAAAAUAUCCAACAUUGUUGCAAUGUAUUUCAGCCUCACACAAAACUCCUGACUGUGCAGAUUCCUAUUAAAAUGACUGUAUUUCUCCAAAUUUCUCCCAAAUAAUUGUGAGACCUUAAAGCAUUCACACUACACUUUGAGAAUGCAAAAUUUUGAGGAAUGGACAAUAAUGCAUGGUUUUGAGACACGCUGUUAAAUAAGUACUUGACAGUGGACCAUGGAAAGCAAUGCAGUCGAAAUGUUAAGAAAUGUUCUACUUUAUGCAUAUAAGGAGGGGAUCGGCAGCAAAUAUCUAAGAAUGUCUUGAGCAAUUAGAAUAUGCAGAUUGUGCUGGGGUUUCUACUAUACUUAUUGUGUAUAUCAUAUCAUUUACACAUUGGAUGCAUUUCAGUUGUUAUUUGGGUGUUAAAUAUUACAGUUUGGAUGCUUUGAUUGCAAACAGACUUCAAAAAUGUAUUAAACUGACACUGAAUCUUUA
ensembl:lncRNA